rnacentral:rRNA from 1 species
UAUCUGGUUGAUCCUGCCAGUAGUCAUACGCUCGUCUCAAAGAUUAAGCCAUGCAUGUGUUAGUAUAAACGCCUUUAUACUGUAAAACUGCGAACGGCUCAUUAUAUCAGUUAUAGUUUAUUUGAUACUUCUUCACUAUUUGAUAACCGUAGUAAUUCUAGAGCUAAUACAUGCUUACAGGCCCGACUCACGAAGGGCUGUAUUUAUUAGAUUUCAAUCAACAUUUUUUGCUGACUCAUGAUAACUAAGCGGAUCGCAGAGGCCUUGUGCCGGCGACAAAUCAUUCAAGUUUCUGCCCUAUCAGCUUUCGAUGGUAGUGUAUUGGACUACCAUGGCAUUAACGGGUAACGGAGGAUUAGGGUUCGAUUCCGGAGAGGGAGCCUGAGAAAUGGCUACCACAUCCAAGGAAGGCAGCAGGCGCGUAAAUUACCCAAUCCUAAUUCAGGGAGGUAGUGACAAUAAAUAUCGAUGCGGGGCCCUUCGGGUCUUGCAAUCGGAAUGAGAACAAUUUAAAUCCCUUAACGAGGAUCAAUUGGAGGGCAAGUCUGGUGCCAGCAGCCGCGGUAAUUCCAGCUCCAUAGCGUAUAUUAAUGGUGUUGCAGUUAAAAAGCUCGUAAUUGGAUUUCUGCCCCCGCAGGUCGGUCCGCCGCACUGCGGUGCGACUGAACUGGA